GCUUUCGUGGUGUAAUAAGCAGCACGUCCGAUUGGCAAUCGGAAGCAGCAGAAUUCGAGUUCUGCCGAGGGCA
rnacentral:tRNA from 1 species